rnacentral:rRNA from 1 species
AACGAACGCUGGCGGCAUGCUUAACACAUGCAAGUCGAACGCCUGGUCCUUUCAAGCGUCGCUUUUCAGUUUUGUUUUCUUUUGCCUUAUUCAGGCGGCCGACUGGCCGCCCGCGAUAGCCCGCACGGCAGCGCAGCCGCCGUGCGAUACGGCGUUAUUGCGUAAGCCAAGCGCACGGAGGUGCGCGCCGGCGAUUGAGGCGCAACAAAGAAAGCCUGGCCCCGCACGGGGUUGGAGAGAAGAGCGGCGGCGUUUGAAUGGGCCAGGAGUGGCGGACGGGUGAGUAACGCGUGGGAACCUGCCCUAUGGUACGGGAUAACGUUGGGAAACUGACGCUAAUACCGUAUGUGUCCUGAGGGAGAAAGAUUUAUCGCCAUAGGAUGGGCCCGCGUCGGAUUAGGUAGUUGGUAGGGUAACGGCCUACCAAGGCGACGACGCAUAGCCGGACUGAGAGGUUGGCCGGCCACAUUGGGACUGAGACACUGCCCAGACUCCUACGGGGGGCUGCAGUAACGAAUCUUCCGCAAUGCACGAAAGUGUGACGGAGCGACG